UUUCAUUUUUAGCAGCCCCCAAAAAUAAAAAAGGCAGAGAACAGAGAGCCUUUAUCUGUUCGUUUUGGCUCCCCCUGAACUCCGGCGUCGACCUCAACGGCGAGCCGCCGUGUGGUCACCGUAGUCAAGGGCGCAGGUAAGGUUUCUUCUCGUCCUUUUUUGUUUUAUACAUAUUCUUAUAUACAUUUGUAUAUACGAUUAAAUAAAAAAAAGAAAAGGAAAGAAUAAAUCAGGAAACAAAAUGAAAAAAAGAAAAGAAGAACACCUUUUCUUUUGAUUUUUCGAUUUUAUUGAUUCAUCCCUAUUUUUCUUUCCAAUCGGUUUCAUCCCCCAUUUGAAAAUACAAAUCAAAAUCGGCUUUUAUAGCCGAUGCCCUAUUUCUGUUUUGCUAUUUUUUUCCUUUUUGUUGCGUGUUUCAUUUCAUUUUGCAGGUGGGCAGAAGAAAGCCGUACAGUGGCAGAGUCAGUGGCGCAGCGGUGGCAGGAGGCUAGGGUGCGGCGCAGUAGCACUAAGGUUUGACUUGUUUAUUUUGAUUUGAUGUUUUGGGCUUGGGUUGAGUGGGCUGUUAUGGUUAGAUUUAGGUGGGUUAGAAUUUGGGUCUUCAUUGGGCCAUCUAAUUUGGGUUUGUAAUUAGGUUGGUUUGGGUUUUGGUGUUUGGAUUUUGGAUUUUGGGCCACAGGUAAAUUUGAGCUUGUACAAUGAGAUGAUAGAGUUAAUUUUAUAUAAUGUAGUAUUAGUGUCAAUUUGCAUUAUGUAGUGUUUCUACUUUCAAAAUAUCUAUUUUGGUACAUGAAAUUUAAUUCUGUUCAUCAAUGUGGUACCUCCUAACAAUGUUAAACCCAUAUAUCAAUUGACAUGUGGCGUAAUCAUGGGUGUGUUAGGGAAAAAUUAAAACAAAGAUUUUGAAACAAUUAUACUUUUUCAUAUUUUAAAAAUUAAAAUAAUAAAAAUAAUAACGAAGUUAAUAAAUCACAUUUCUCUUCCUCUUUAGAAAGCAAAGCUUGUUUUUUUUUCUCUCACAAUUUGUCUUUGCCGUUGUUCCCGUUGGAUUUUCGCACCGUUCAAGGUGGAUGGUGGUAGUGAACAGUAGCCUUUGUCCCUUCAAUCCCACUAGCUUAGAGCUCCUUAUAGCAAAUCAGAAACCCUUGAAGAGGUAAAUGAAGCUUGCAACUUUUCCUUUUUCAAUGUGCUUUGCCGGCCGUUGGAUUGGCCUUCAGUCAAGACUAACUGUUUUUGUAGCUUUCUUUUCGUUGCCAUUGUUCGGGUUUCUAGACUAGUACUUGCAGCCCAGAAGGCCAAAAGGGCCUAAGAUGGGUGCUCGAACUCUCUCUUUUCUAACUUCUCUUUUCUUUUUGGUUCGAUUUUUUGGGACUCUUUGUUGAUUUUUUUUUUGUUUGCAGGCUUCUUAGAUACUUGGGUUUAAGCUUUGAAAGGGCUUUGAGUACAAUUAUUUUUGGGUGUGGGUUUGAUUUGAAUGAAAUAGCAAUGGUGAAUGGUGCUUUGGCAAGGGGUUCGUUUGCGUGCAAGGUGAUGGUAAGGUUUAGAUGUCAGCCACUGAGGCGUCAGCUAAGGUUGAAGAAAGGAGAUAAGGAGAAAAAAAGGAAAUUAACAAGUUCUUAAUUUAAAUUUAGAAGAAAAAAGGUAUCAGUCAAAAGUAAACAAAUUUGCCACGUCAGGACCCAAUAAGUCAUCCGGCCAUGCCAGCAAAAAAUACCUUGUAAUUAGGGUCAAACACUAAAUUGGUAAACACGAUCAAAUUUCUGGUAUCAAAUUGCAUAUUUUGAAAAUACAAAUAUCAUAUUUGAAGAUCUGAUAAAGUACAAGAGUAAAACAUGUCGUUACCCCCUUGAAAGAAAAUAAAGAAAGAGUAGAGAAAAAAAAAAGAUGAGUGAACUUUGAAAAAAAAAAAUUGGCCAAAGCGAAUUUUGAAAUUUAUCCAUUAGAAAUGAGAGAAUGAAAAUUUAUCUUAAUGCAUAGAUACACGUUACCUUUGUGACUGUAUAUACUAUAUGCGAGGGUUUUAACUAAUACCAUUCAAUCGGUACUUAAAAUUAUCGCAUCAACACUUUAAUGUUAUAAUUGAAAAUUUUAUCAUGGUUUAACGGAUUCUUAUAAAUUAAUUCCACUUAUUUUCAUAUACUAACAUAAUUUUCAACAUUAAUUUCACCUGCAACGUAUUCACUCCAAUAAUUCCCAUUUUACAAAAUUUUUAACAUUCUUGUCAACAAAUUUUACCUUAAUUCUUGACUCGACCAAAUCAAACCCAUUCAUUAGUUUGAUUAAGAAACCUUUAUAAUUAAAUGUCUUUAUAGUCUUCAUCAAAGAUUGUUAUAUCCAUUUCUUUCAUUUACUAUGCAUUUUCACUUAGUUUAUUUAAUAAAUUACACAUUUCAUUAAUGAAUAAUCUAAAGCAAGUAGGGAUUCC
rnacentral:lncRNA from 1 species